UCGCGUUGACUACGUCCCUGCCCU
rnacentral:siRNA from 1 species